CGAAAUGCGAUAAUUAAUGUUAAUUGCAGAAUUCAGUGAAUCAUCGAGUCUUUGAACGCACAUUGCGCCCCCUGGUAUUCCGGGGGGCAUGCCUGUCCGAGCGUCAUUGCUGCCCUCAAGCACGGCUUGUGUGUUGGGCUUCCGUCCCUGGCAACGGGGACGGGCCCAAAAGGCAGUGGCGGCACCAUGUCUGGUCCUCGAGCGUAUGGGGCUUUGUCACCCGCUCCCGUAGGUCCAGCUGGCAGCUAGCCUCGCAACCAAUCUUUUUAACCAGGUUGACCUCGGAUCAGGUAGGGAUACCCGCUGAACUUAAGC
rnacentral:misc_RNA from 1 species